rnacentral:ncRNA from 1 species
CUUAUCAAGAAAGGUGGAGGGACAGGCCCUUUGAAACCUUGGCAACCUUUUCCAUAGAAAGCGGUGCCAAAUCCUGUUUUCGCUGCGUGCGAAAG